rnacentral:rRNA from 1 species
GACGUAGGGCGCGAGCGUUGUCCGGAUUUAUUGGGCGUAAAGAGCUCGUAGGCGGUCUGUCGCGUCGGCUGUGAAAUCCCGGAGCUCAACUCCGGGUCUGCAGUCGAUACGGGCAAACUGGAGUACUGCAGGGGAGACUGGAAUUCCCGGUGUAGCAGUGAAAUGCGUAGAUAUCGUAAGGAAGACCAGUGGCGAAGGCGAAUCUCUGGACAGUUACUGACACUGAGGCACGAAGGCCAGGGGAGCAAACGGG